GACCGCGCAGCUCAGUUGGCAGAGCAUUGGGCUAGUAUCCCAAAGGUCGUAGGUUCGAUUCCCACCGUGGACA
rnacentral:tRNA from 1 species